UACGUAGGGUGCAAGCGUUAAUCGGAAUUACUGGGCGUAAAGCGUGCGCAGGCGGUUAUGCAAGACAGAUGUGAAAUCCCCGGGCUCAACCUGGGAACUGCAUUUGUGACUGCAUGGCUAGAGUGCGGCAGAGGGGGAUGGAAUUCCGCGUGUAGCAGUGAAAUGCGUAGAUAUGCGGAGGAACACCGAUGGCGAAGGCAAUCCCCUGGGCCUGCACUGACGCUCAUGCACGAAAGCGUGGGGAGCAAACGGG
rnacentral:rRNA from 1 species